rnacentral:lncRNA from 1 species
AUGGCGAGCGGGACACCGCCGCUCCGCUGCCGGGCUUGGCGGCGUGCAGCGAGGCCGCCAGCGCCGGGCCCAGCGGGUGCGCGUAGCCGAAGGGCGUCCGUGCCAGCUCCGCCGCCGGCAGCAAGGGGCCCGGCGGCGCGGAGGCGGCGGCGGCGGCGGCGGGGGGCAGCGCCGCGGCGGGGGCGGCGGAGGGGGCGGCGGGGGGCUGCCGGGGCGGCGGGGAGGGGUGGUGGAAGGCGAAGAGGGCGGAGUGGGGGUGGUAGGGCUGCAGCUGGAGGCCGUAGCCGCAGCCGUAGGGUCCGUAGGCGCAGGGUGGCUGCUGCGGUCUCUUCAGCCAACGCCGACGCCUCGGACAUCUCCGAGCUCAGGGUCAUGGCGAUGCGGCGGGACAGCGCAUCGGCGGCUGGCGGUGCGGCGCGGCGGGCGGGCGGCCACUCUCCCCGCCGGGCCCCCGCGGCGCUCCGCCGAGAGCCGCCCCGCCGCCGCCGCGGGCAGGAGGGCCGGGCCCCAGCGCCGCCGCCGCCGCGCGGAGAGAGCGCUGCUGCCGCCCGCUCGGAGGCGGCGGUGCCUUAUGGCUUGGCGUAUUUUUUGCUGCUUUUUCAAGAUUCUUUCCCUCGCGCUUUUUUUUUUUUCCUUUUUUUUUUUUUUUUCCUCCUCUCCCCUCCCCCUUCUUUUCUUUCUUUUUUUUUUUUUUUUCUUUUUUUUUUUUUUUUUUCUAAUUUUUUUUUUUUUUUUGUCUUUAUCUUUGUUGUGCCUCGGGUUCUUGGGGUUCAGGGGGCCGUGCCGCCGCGCCUGGGAGCCCGCUCCCUCUUCUUUCUCCUCACCUCAGUCCCCAGACAUUAAUGGAUGCGGGGCAGAGGGAGCGCGCCUAGUCCUGGGAGGAGGAGAGGGAGGGGAAGGAGGGAGGGAGGAAGAGAGAGGAGGGCGGGCGGAGGGGGCGGCUCGCCGACCCAUUAGGACGGUGCGGAGGCCGGGGCCGAGUCCCAAAGAGGGCGGCCUUCCUCCCCGCCUUAUAGCGAGGGGGCCAUCACAUGGCUCUCGGCGUCAGUGCGCGGCUGGGCGAGCUGCGGUGCCGUGCCCUCCUCGGUGGGGUGGGGGGGGGGAGGGGUCUGCCCUCAGUGUGGGAGGGGGGAUACAGAGGACGCACUCCGAGAAAGAAAGGGAAAAAAAAGUGAGUCUGUCCCAGAGCGCUGAAGCAUCUUUGAGAGAACAGUGCCUGGAUUUCUGAAUCCCACUGUGCCGCCCUCGGGACCGCGUCCUGCUGCCUGCGGGAAGGGGGAAAAGCGUCUUCUCUACGGGAUUCUCUUUCCCGAAGAUCCGCGUGGGCGGGAGACCCCGAGUGGGGGCUGCGGGAGAUCCCCGCUGGCGGGGGACGGUGUCUGGGAGAGCCCUGCGCCGCAGCUCGGGGAGGAGAACGACCAAGAGGAGCUGCCUGGAGAGAUGGGGGGGGGGGGUCUCCUCUACGGAGAAACCCGCCUGGGUGCGACCCUGGGAAGUGUGGUGCAGGUGACCCUGGUUGAGGCAGAGGGCUGGACUAAAUGAUCCCAAGUCCCUUCAGACCUCAACCAUCCAGUGGUUCUGUGUGACAUAUCUCAAAGCCCUCUAAAAUAAAGUUUUCCACCCCAACCCCCCUCCCCA